GAUGAACGCUGGCGGCGUGCCUAAUACAUGCAAGUCGAGCGAACAGACGAGGAGCUUGCUCCUCUGACGUUAGCGGCGGACGGGUGAGUAACACGUGGAUAACCUACCUAUAAGACUGGGAUAACUUCGGGAAACCGGAGCUAAUACCGGAUAAUAUAUUGAACCGCAUGGUUCAAUAGUGAAAGACGGUUUCGCUGUCACUUAUAGAUGGAUCCGCGCCGCAUUAGCUAGUUGGUAAGGUAACGGCUUACCAAGGCAACGAUGCGUAGCCGACCUGAGAGGGUGAUCGGCCACACUGGAACUGAGACACGGUCCAGACUCCUACGGGAGGCAGCAGUAGGGAAUCUGCCGCAAUGGGCGAAAGCCUGACGGAGCAACGCCGCGUGAGUGAUGAAGGUCUUCGGAUCGUAAAACUCUGUUAUUAGGGAAGAACAAAUGUGUAAGUAACUAUGCACGUCUUGACGGUACCUAAUCAGAAAGCCACGGCUAACUACGUG
rnacentral:rRNA from 1 species